AAAAGUUUUUCUGUUAUAAGAAAAUUAAGAGGGAAAUCGGUUAAAUUCCGAUGCGUUACCCGACACUGUAGUCAGUAGUAGCAAAUACAACAAGCCAUUCAUUUUAUGGAGAAGGCGUAUUUGUAAGCUGAGAGCCAGGACACCUGCUUUUGUUUUUAG
rnacentral:ncRNA from 1 species